GAGAAGUUUAGUCACGUGCUCGAGAAGAAGUAUCCUAGUCGCUGAGCCACUAUCACAAAAACCUAAAACGCGUGACGAUUUUAUUCUCGUACUCUCGUUCACCAUCGAAGUGUGAAAUAAAAGUCGUCAUCAUCAACACUUUAGUGCGAGAAACGUACGAGUUUAAAGUAAGGAGGAAAUCCAACUGUACCCUUUUCUGUUACAUCUACAGGUCUGAUACAUUUUCGUCACAAUUGCUGAUACAAGAGUGCUACGGGAAUUUCAUUUAAAGUCACAGAAAUUCAAAUACAAUGUUUGCAGUUUAUUACAGGUGAUCGAGAAUGUACAGAGGAGGAUGUCAAAGACAUUUCAAGAUAAAAGGGAAAUUCUUGUGAAUAAAGUUAAAGCAUAAGAUAAAACAUAUGUCUUCAUCGUGUUGAAGGAGUCGCUUUGACAAAACCAAGCGACGCUUACUUCAUUAAAUAAUCAAUUUACAUAACAGAGAACAUGCAAAUCUUGUUUACAAGACAUACAGCAAUAUGUCAGAGUUGAUGAUAAACCACUAUAGUGAAAAGCAAUUUCAAUGAAGUUGAACGUAAGGACGUUGACGAGUAUUGUGAUUUUCAUCACACUAUAUACUGCAUGUGUUGUGCUCUAUGUAACUUAUACAGAUCAACAGAUCCUCCUGAAAGGGGAAAGGAAAAUUAAUAAUCGUACAACAUUAAUACGAAGGAAAUGGAGUCAUAGAAAACGUGCCACAUUACAAGCAAUGACAGAUGAUAUGAAAGACAAUAUAAUUCGCCACUUACAGAAACGGGUUAAUUUUUUGCUUCGUGAGUUGAACAGCAUUAAGAAUAAAUGUAAUUUACAAGAGGAAAGAGACGACACGGUUCCAGGUAACGAAGACUUAGAGUCCAACACAAAGUUAAACAAUGGACAAGUUAUCGCUAAAGCUGAUUUUCUCACAUCCUACAGUCGACGAACGACGUUGCAUAUAAUAUGUUUUCGGCAGAAAAACUUUAUCAAGUAAAUUCUAUCGCUCGUCCAAGUAAAGUUUUCACAAAAGAAAGUUUUCAGAGACAAGGAAAGCACGAACAUCUAUCACGUGCUUCAGAUGAAGCGAAGAUAUUUGUUAAGAAAUCUAUGAAAUUCACAUCAAAUGUCAAUCUAACAUUAAAAACGGGCUUGUUUCGUGAAAAUGCAAACCUUGGUGUACAGUACGAGAUUCAUUUAGAAGCAAAGUCGGCAAACAGACGCGAAACCUAUGGUGUAACACUUGCACAACCUUUAUCCCCCUUUGUCCUACUUUCUCCACCUGUAAAACAAACCUCGAUACAUUAGUGAACAUCAUUGUACCACUACAAGGAAGGCUGGAGCGAUUUGAAGAAUAUCUCCAUCAUUUCAAACGCGUUUGUCUGCAACGCAACGAAAACGUAUACCUUACGGUGGUAUAUAGUGGUGAGAAAGGAGUUAAGAAUGUGCUAAAAUUGUUGAAUAAUUUACGAAAAGAAACGAGCUUUACAAACUUCAACCUAUUGACGAAAAAAGAAAGUUUCAAUCGUGGACAAUUACUUCAUGUAGCAGCAACUCAGUGGAAAGGUGAUGAAAAUGUGUUGAUGUUUUUUGUGAUGUAGAUAUCUCAUUUGAACCGGAUUUUCUCGAACGGUGUCGCAUGUUUACAAAACCAGCGGGCUCAGUGUACUUUCCAAUCGUGUUCAAUUACUACAAUCCAUACUACGUACGACAGGAAACAGAUAAAUUAUGGAAAAUAUCCAGAAAGACCGGAUAUUGGCGUAUCCAUGGGUACGGAAUGGCGUGUCAUCAUCGUCAAGAUUACUUUCGUGUUGGUGGCUUUGACCUCAAUAUCAGUGGAUGGGGAACUGAAGACGUCAAAUUGCAUCAAAAAUAUGUCAGACAAGGCGAAAUUCGUGUCAUACGAGCACCGGACAGCGGUAUCUUUCAUCACUUCCAUCACAAAGAGUGCAGUACCACGUUACCAAAGAAACAAUAUCGCAACUGCGAGUCUUCGCGACUCAACACAGAAGCAUCAAAAUACCAAUAUGGAAGAGAGGUUUUAAGACUUAAGAAAAUGAUGAAGAGUUUCGUGUAAGAUAUAGAGCAUUAAUACAGUGAUUAUCUUUGUUCAAAUAUUAAAUGGAUUGGAUCAAUUAUCACUCCAGUAA